GGGAACGUGCCUUCCGGUUCGGAAUAACCCUGGGAAACUAGGGCUAAUACCGGAUACGCCCUUAUGGGGAAAGGUUUACUGCCGGAAGAUCGGCCCGCGUCUGAUUAGCUAGUUGGUGGGGUAACGGCCUACCAAGGCGACGAUCAGUAGCUGGUCUGAGAGGAUGAUCAGCCACACUGGGACUGAGACACGGCCCAGACUCCUACGGGAGGCAGCAGUGGGGAAUAUUGGACAAUGGGCGCAAGCCUGAUCCAGCCAUGCCGCGUGAGUGAUGAAGGCCUUAGGGUUGUAAAGCUCUUUUAUCCGGGACGAUAAUGACGGUACCGGAGGAAUAAGCCCCGGCUAACUUCGUGCCAGCAGUCGCGGUAAUACGAAGGGGGCUAGCGUUGCUCGGAAUCACUGGGCGUAAAGGGCGCGUAGGCGGCGUUUUAAGUCGGGGGUGAAAGCCUGUGGCUCAACCACAGAAUGGCCUUCGAUACUGGGACGCUUGAGUAUGGUAGAGGUUGGUGGAACUGCGAGU
rnacentral:rRNA from 1 species